UACGAAGGGGGCUAGCGUUGCUCGGAAUCACUGGGCGUAAAGGGCGCGUAGGCGGAUCUUUAAGUCGGGGGUGAAAGCCUGAGGCUCAACCUCAGAAUUGCCUUCGAUACUGGAGAUCUUGAGACCGGAAGAGGUAAGUGGAACUGCGAGUGUAGAGGUGAAAUUCGUAGAUAUUCGCAAGAACACCAGUGGCGAAGGCGGCUUACUGGUCCGGUUCUGACGCUGAGGCGCGAAAGCAUGGGGAGCAAACAGG
rnacentral:rRNA from 1 species